rnacentral:lncRNA from 1 species
GUUUCUCAGGCUUACUUGUACAUUAGAAUCACCUGGGGAACAUUUAAAACUCCUGACGCUGGGGCUGUGUACUUUUGACUAAUUAAGUCAGAAUCUCCAGGCAUUAGCACAUGUUAAAGCUUUCCAGGUGAUUCUAAUGUGCAGCUGAGUUUGAGAACCACCGUUGAGAGAUCAGGCAAGGCCCAAUCUCUUCACAGUGGAAGACCACCCCUCACCCAACUACCCACUUGUCAGGAUCUAACUUGGGCUAGUCAGAGGCUCCAGAGUCAAAUCCCCUCAUCUCCUGCAUGGAUUUUUAUAUGCCUGGCUGCUGGUGUUGCGAGGGUGCAGUAGGAGAAGAAGAAUGAAAUCUCUUCAUUUGGUGGCUGCUGCGUCUCCAGGCUUCCUGUCCCUGUGCCAUCAGAAAAGAAGGUGUGAGGGAGGAGUGCAGGAGGGCAAGAGAAAAAUGUCUUCCCAGAAACUCAGCGUAUGUCUCAGUGGUCAGGUUGGAAGAGGUCCCAUCUGCUCUUCCACUGUUGAGAACUAACUGAUAUCGAAUCAUAUUGGUGGAGCUCAAAAUGUCACUGGCAAUGCCGACGGGAGGUCGUGACUUUAGAUCUACAGCCACACGGGCUUACCUUCAACCCAGCCCACUCAGUUCCUGGCAUAGAUGGACAAGUCAAAGACUCCCCUAAAGAGUGGGCCCUUUCGUCUGGCAAAAAAAAAUAGAUGAGAGUAGAAUGUCUGCCUCUUGAGGAUUAACCUGCUCCAAAAUAAGCCCAAGGAAGCUAACUGACCACACUUAAUUCCUUCCACUAAAUUUACCAACCGGAAACUCCCCUUCCUCCCAAGGGCAAGAAUGUGUGGAGGUGAUGGGAUAGGCUAGGAAAGUUAUGGUAGCAGGAAUUCCUUUCUCUCUAUCAAAACCUGAGUCCAGGAUCACUCACAGUGGGGGGAAGCCAGCUGCCAUGUCAUGAUACUCUCAAGAAACCCUACGGAAAUGUCCUUGUAGUAAGGAAUUGCAGCCUCCUGCUAACAACCAGCACUAGCUUGCCAGUCAUAUGUGUGAGCCACUUUGGAAACAGAUCCUAGUCCCAGCCAAGCCUUCAAAUGCCAGAGCCUAUUGUGAGGGAUGGGGUUUGUCAGGCAGAUCAGAUCUGCAUUUGACAAGCAGCAAAUCAAUGAAGUAGAUACCUGCACAGCUGAAAGUGGAGGGAGAAGAUACAAUUGAUGUGUUGGGCAGCAAAAAAGGAGGCAUCUAUUUAAAAAAGAGUACUUGCUAGCCAGGCAUGGUGGCGCAUGCCUGUAAUCCCACCUGCUUGGGAGGCUGAGGCAGGAGAAUCACUUGAACCCAGGAGGUAGAGAUUGCGGUGAGCUGAGAUCGUGCCAUUGCACUCCAGCCUGGGCAACAAGAACGA